ensembl:lncRNA
CCGUUUCUUUCAUAUUUUAAGAAUGACAAAAGUAUAAUUCCCAAUAACAAUAUGGAUUACAUCUUUCAGGGGAUCUUCAAAGAAAAAUAUACAGCAGUAAACAAUACUGUUAUAAUAAUUUACACAUUAUCCUUCAGCGCAAGAAUAAACUUCAUUUGUGACAUUUCUGUUUCUACAAUGUUCUCCCCCCACCCCAGCCCCAAGUUUAAAUGGCAAGCCAUGCACCACUCCAGUAGUGAUGUUUGUGCCGUGAGCAAAACCUUCUUUGGACAUUGGAAGCAAAAGUUCACAUCAUUUAUAUGCACAAUUUUCAUAAUUAUAAUUUAACAAACUGACAGUCACAUAUGGUCAGUGCUUUCCCAGGGCUCGUCAUCAGGUUAGUAGGAGGCAAAAGUAUGAGAGACAGGCACAGUGUUAAGACUAGCAGGCCAAUUCUCCAUGGUAGAGUUGGCAAAAAAUGAAAAUUACUUUUCUGAUGAUACGGUUUCUCGAAUUCCAGCAAAGACCGCAAGCAAAUAGUUAAAAGGGUCAGAAGUAAAGCCUCAUUCUUUGGUCAGUUUGAAAAUGCAGGGUUAAAACUAAAUUGGAACUUGUUUAAAGUGCAUAAGACAAUCCCCUUGAUCAAAGUUUUACCACGCAAAAGAGAAUCCCUGGACUGGACUCUGGUCCUAGUCUAGUCAGUUGGCUAGCUAACAUGCAAAUCCUCCCAACUAGUUGUCUGAAUGUCUGAAACAAAAACAGGGAUGAAGAAAAAAAAUAUCAUAAUCCUGUUGUUGAAUCCUUUUAUCUUCUGGUCUAAUGCACCACUGGCUACUGAAUAAAAUAACUAAUGUAUUUUAAUGUGUGCAAUCAAUGCAUGUUGCUCUAGAGAUGUAAGAAGAAGAAAAUGAUUGGCUGAAGCCUUGCAAGCCUAAUAUUUGUUGGGAAAAGUUCACUCGAAAGAAUUACUUGACCAAUCAGAUAGUUGUUCCAAUUACGUAUGGUUUAGCCUUCAGUGGGCGGGCUCUAUGAGGCCUCCACCCAUUCUCAAGCAUUAGGUGGAGUGCAACUCAACUGACUUGCACAUAACAGAAAUGGGUCAACCCUAAUGAUUGGUUAAACGAUUCUGAAAGUGAUCUACAGCAGGGAAGGUAAGAGUUGACAUGAUGACAAUGCCACCCAUGAGGUCACCGUCUGCCACCUCAGCUUGAUACCGAAUCCACGUCUUCGUAGUAAGAUGGAUAAACAAGCCACACAAAAAGCCAUUUUAAAAUCGGUCAAACCAGACUGAAGCGGGUCAGUAUCACCAUUGUAGGUGUGCUUUAGAACAAGAAAUCUAUUAAAAAUCAGUAAGCACACUUUCCCUCACUUCAAUGUUUGCCCUUUGAGUGGCAUUGAACAAUUAAAUCCAUCAAAAUCCACAAUCCCUUGUGAUUCCAGACAAAUCUCUUUACUCACUUUAACCUAAAAAUGUCUAGGUUUACAGAGAAAGAACAGAACCAAGUCCUCAUGAAAGAGUACAAAGUGAUGUGGAGAAUAACUGUAUGCAGAUGAGAUUCAGACGAGUGCUGACACGUAACUUGCUACAUGCUUGAUUGGCAUACACAAGAUCCUCACACGCGGGAGGAUAUUUCUCAGCAGAAGACCAGAGAGAGAACACUUCUUCCCCUUAACUAUAAAAAUACCUAUAAUAUAGAAGGUUAGAAAAAAAAAAAAUGACAUGUACAAGUUAUUUACAGCCAUGGCAAUAUUCCAUGGAGUGCUCAAGGAAGAAAGUGUGGUGAGUUAAAUGGGUGGUAGAAGGCUAUGUUUUAGUUUAGCUGUGUUGGUCGGUUUAUUAUGCCAUGCUGUCCAUCCCUUCGACACAGGAACAAAACAAGCUGCCUGCAAUUCCAGCAGUUAGACACCCGUGUUAUUAUCCUUCAAAACGUCCAGUACCAGAAUCUCAGAGUGCACUGGUGAAUAGGCUGCACUGACAAGAAUCAGUAGUCUUCUUUUUUUAUUUAUUUCCACUUGCUAAUGUCCAGAGACACGGCGGAAAGUUCCGGAGAUUCAGACUGGGACUUUGUCCACCGAGGCUCGGAAAAUAAUAGAGUUCAGUUCAGAGGUCAGUUCUUUGACGUCCGGUUGUGAUGUCGGUCCUUCGUCGCUUCCACUGUUCUUCUUAAUGUUAUUGCUUAGGGUUCAACAUUACUGCUCCUCAAAUUAAAAGGUCAGAGUAUCAUGAUAGAACCUCCCA